rnacentral:rRNA from 1 species
UCCUGGCUCAGGAUGAACGCUGGCGGCGUGCUUAACACAUGCAAGUCGAACGAUGACCCGGUGCUUGCACCGGUGAUUAGUGGCGAACGGGUGAGUAACACGUGAGUAACCUGCCCUUAACUCUGGGAUAAGCCUGGGAAACUGGGUCUAAUACCGGAUAUGACUCCUCAUCGCAUGGUGGGGGGUGGAAAGCUUUAUUGUGGUUUUGGAUGGACUCGCGGCCUAUCAGCUUGUUGGUGAGGUAAUGGCUCACCAAGGCGACGACGGGUAGCCGGCCUGAGAGGGUGACCGGCCACACUGGGACUGAGACACGGCCCAGACUCCUACGGGAGGCAGCAGUGGGGAAUAUUGCACAAUGGGCGCAAGCCUGAUGCAGCGACGCCGCGUGAGGGAUGACGGCCUUCGGGUUGUAAACCUCUUUCAGUAGGGAAGAAGCGAAAGUGACGGUACCUGCAGAAGAAGCGCCGGC